CAACUUUAAGAAAAACUGGCGGCAAGAAAAGAAAAUAGUUUUGGAAAAAUCAUAUGUAAAAUGCAUUAGGGUUUAGUCAUCAUCAUUAACAAUCAUAUAUAGUUAUACCAAUUAUUUAUAAUGUUGGAAAAUAUUAGUAUUUAUAGUUAUUUGAUUAUUUGAGUUUGUUUGUUAAUUAGUAUAUGAGCUUAACCCAUCCGAAUUAGGGUUUCUAGGUUUUGCUCUAUAUAAAUAUAGCUUAUA
rnacentral:lncRNA from 1 species